CUUGGUGGCUCUAUCGCGGGGGAAACACCUCUUCCCAUCCCGAACAGAGUAGUUAAGACCCGUUGAGCCAAUGGUACUGCACCGGUAACAGUGUGGGAGAGUAGGUCGCCGCCAAGU
rnacentral:rRNA from 1 species